CCAAAAAAAUCUUCUAGCGAGGUUCUAGCCGCCCGUACCCCAAACCGACUCAGGUGGUUAGGUAGAGAAUACCAAGGCGAUCGAGUGAAUCGUGGUUAAGGAAUUCGGCAAAAUACCCCCGUAACUUCGGGAGAAGGGGGGCCCAGAGGGUGACGGGACUUGCUCCCCGAGCCUGAACGGCCGCAGAGACCAGGGAGAAGCGACUGUUUACUAAAAACACAGGUCCGUGCCAAGUCGCAAGACGAUGUAUACGGACUGACGCCUGCCCGGUGCUGGAACGUUAAGGGGACCGGUUAGCCUCACGGCGAAGCUGAGAACUUAAGCGCCAGUAAACGGCGGUGGUAACUAUAACCAUCCUAAGGUAGCGAAAUUCCUUGUCGGGUAAGUUCCGACCUGCACGAAUGGCGUAACGACUUCUCCACUGUCUCAACCACGAACUCGGCGAAAUUGCACUACGAGUAAAGAUGCUCGUUACGCGCAGAAGGACGGAAAGACCCCGGGACCUUUACUACAGCUUGGUAUUGGUGUUCGGUACGGCUUGUGUAGGAUAGGUGGGAGACUGUGAAGCUGACACGCCAGUGUCGGUGGAGUCAACGUUGAAAUACCACUCUGGUCGUUCUGGAUAUCUAACCUAGGUCCGUAAUCCGGAUCAGGGACAGUGCCUGGUGGGUAGUUUAACUGGGGCGGUUGCCUCCUAAAAGGUAACGGAGGCGCCCAAAGGUUCCCUCAGCCUGGUUGGCAAUCAGGUUUCGAGUGUAAGUGCACAAGGGAGCUUGACUGUGAGACUGACAAGUCGAACAGGGACGAAAGUCGGGACUAGUGAUCCGGCGGUGGCUUGUGGAAGCGCCGUCGCUCAACGGAUAAAAGGUACCCCGGGGAUAACAGGCUGAUCUUGCCCAAGAGUCCAUAUCGACGGCAUGGUUUGGCACCUCGAUGUCGGCUCGUCGCAUCCUGGGGCUGGAGUGGGUCCCAAGGGUUGGGCUGUUCGCCCAUUAAAGCGGUACGCGAGCUGGGUUUAGAACGUCGUGAGACAGUUCGGUCCCUAUCCUCUGCGCGCGCAGGAAACUUGAGAAGGGCUGUCCCUAGUACGAGAGGACCGGGAUGGACGAACCUCUGGUGUGUCAGUUGUUCUGCCAAGAGCACCGCUGAUUAGCUACGUUCGGGAGUGAUAACCGCUGAAAGCAUCUAAGCGGGAAGCAUGCUUCAAGAUGAGGUUUCCAUGGGGUUUACCCCGAGAGGCUCUCAGCUAGACUACUGGGUUGAUAGGCCGGAUGUGGAAGUGCGGUAACGCAUGGAGCUGACCGGUACUAAUAAGCCGAUAAC
rnacentral:rRNA from 1 species